UAUUGAAGAGGAGGGGACAAUAAGAGUGUAAUGCCAGAAACAGGGAUCAUGUAGUAUCACCUUAGGUUCAAUAUAUCACCAUCACUCUCCUUACGUUCUCUUAGAUUCCCAAUUUUCUUAUCAGUAUUAUCAGGAUAUGACAGAAUGAUGGUCAGACAUCUUCCAUGAGUUCAGGCAGCACCAUUUCUAAUGAGCACUAUUAUGAAGAGUGAACAUCACCCGAGGACUUUGCAUUGUCUUCUGGGGAAAGGCACUACCCGACCACCACUCUGGGCAGCAUCACCACCAUCACCAGGACCAACAGCCUUGUCGACAUGACCACCCGCUGGGAGCAAGAAACAGGUGGUCUCCCCUCCCUG